AACGAUGAUGUGUUCUAGCAGACUUGUAAUGAUUCUUGCGGGAAUGAUCACACUAUUCGAAGAACACCUGAUGGACUGAGUGUAC
rfam:Triticum urartu cultivar G1812 contig43578, whole genome shotgun sequence.